UUCCUUGUCCCCUCAGUUUUGGCUUGGCUACAUUUAAUGUAUUUUAAUAAAAUUAUCCUAUGUUUUCAGUCAUCUUCAAUCAGAGGACGGGCCCAAGUAAUCUACCCUGUCAGUACUGGAAAAUGGAAGCCUUUCCUGCUCUCAUUCAACAAGUAUUGGGGAAAUGCGUGUGUGUCAGGCAAGGGUCAGGGCAGUAAACCAGAUAGAAGUGGGCUCUUGUAGAGCUCCCAGUCUCUGUGUAGAGACAGACAAUAAACAGAGAGUUACAAAGCUAACUAGUUAAUUAUAGUUGUGAUGCAUAUUGUGGAGUAAGGAAAUUCAGAGGUGGUGAGAGUGUCCAACUGGGAGUCUUUGCCUGUUUCAUGGACUCAGGAGAAAUCAUUUCUAGGAAUGUGAUUUUUUUUAAGGACCCAUAGGAUUAUGUCAUUUGGAGUUGGAGCCCAACAAUGCAGGUAGAGGGAAUACCACAUUUAAAACUCACACACAGGAAGGAGCAUGAUGUUCUAGAUACUGGAAAAUGACCAAUAUGUUUAGCUAUAGUGCACGGAGUAGGGCAGGGUGAGGGACAAGAGGUGAGGCCAGAGGGUUAUCUGGGCUCUCACAAUCAGGGGGUCCGAUUUUGGUCAGUAUGCUAAGAACAAAAGGGACCAUGGCAAACACUGAGGUCAAGUUUUCUGGUAAAGACCACUCUGCUGACCCAAGGAGGAUAAAUCAUGGCAGACCAAGGGAACAUCAGCCAGGCCACGAGGGAGGCUCCUUCUCACAGAGGGAAGUAAGUAAUACUUAGCAGAUAGGAUAAAAAGGAUUUCCACCAAGACUGACGGUAGGGUCGCCUCAGAAUGCUUUACCAAACUGUGCUGGCUCUUGUUCGUUGGCUCUCUACACCUCUUUCCUUACCACAUGGAGGGCCUGCCAUGCCUUUGGCUCCCUGUUGGGUUUGGCCAAUGGGAUGAUGGGAAACAGCAGCAGGCUAUCAGAGGCUACUGUUGAGGCUGGGCUGCCUCUUUCUGACUCUCUCCUUGAUUCAGGGCUUCAUCUGCAUGUCCCCAAGAAUACAGCCCCUGCCAAAUGACCCUUCUUCUGACCUCCAGGGCUCCAGUUCUCACUUGUAACACCAGUUUCUCCCUUAUCCCUUCCCCUUGCAGGUGGUGGUGACCAUAUCUGCUAGAGCUAGUUUUGGGGGGCCUCCAUACCCCUUUUGGAUUCCCUUAACUCUGGUCACAGCUCUCUAAAUAAUCCUUCUGUUAACAUCUCUUUAUUAGAUGAGAUAGGGGGAGUUUGAUUUUCCGCCAGAACCCUGAGUAAUCACCAGUUUCUUAGAGAUAGUUUUGUUUGUUUGUUUGGGGUUUACAUUUGUGUGUGUGUGUGUGUUUGUUUAUUUGUUUGUUUUCCUUUAAAGAAUCCUGAGAAGCAAAUCUGUCUGGGAAUUCUGGAGGGAAGCCAGUCGUCCAUUACAGCAGCUAAAGGAGUGGUGUCAGGGCCCACAUGAAGGCUCUGCUGCCGGCUGCGUUCUAUAAACAAACACAUGCAUGUGAGCACAGGGCAAGCCAGAGCCAAAGGACAAACACAGCCAUCAAAAUUUUAUGGAGCCCAAUAUCAGCCAGGAUAGAGGAAGAAGCGGAGCCCAUAGCGAGAGAGAGCAUGACUCAGCGUGACUCCUUUACCACUGCCUCAGAAGGAAAAGUGAGUCCACAACCGCAGGGAGAAGCUUCUGAAGGUGACCGUCAGUCUGCAGCUGACGAGGGAUGGAGGUUCUCAAAGCCAGAGUGCCAGUCUGUAAGGGGUGAAACCCCAACUCCUUCCUGAAAGAAUGCCGUGGAGCACACUUCUAAUCCUAGCACUCUGUGAUGCUGAGGCGGGAGGAUCACAAGUUUGAGCCUGGCCUAGG